rnacentral:rRNA from 1 species
UUGACCUCNGAUCANGUAGGGAUACCCGCUGAACUUAAGCAUAUC